UGCUUGUGCUUCUUCAGCCAUUGCCUGGAUCGCAUCUAGAAGCUUGGUUCCUUGGCAUAGGUUUAGCCUUUCAGCUGAAUCAUGAAGAGGCAUAUGUAUAAUCCAUCACGUGUGAAACUUUUGAGUAAACAUAUGUACCCAGAGGAGGUAUUCAAUGACGUGAAUCCUGAUCGUGCUUUCACAUUAUGGCGGUUCCGAACAU